GAUGAACGCUGGCGGCGUGCCUAAUACAUGCAAGUCGAGCGAACAGACGAGGAGCUUGCUCCUUUGACGUUAGCGGCGGACGGGUGAGUAACACGUGGAUAACCUACCUAUAAGACUGGGAUAACUUCGGGAAACCGGAGCUAAUACCGGAUAACAUGUUGAACCGCAUGGUUCAACAGUGAAAGACGGUCUUGCUGUCACUUAUAGAUGGAUCCGCGCCGCAUUAGCUAGUUGGUAAGGUAACGGCCUACCAAGGCAACGAUGCGUAGCCGACCUGAGAGGGUGAUCGGCCACACUGGAACUGAGACACGGUCCAGACUCCUACGGGAGGCAGCAGUAGGGAAUCUUCCGCAAUGGGCGAAAGCCUGACGGAGCAACGCCGCGUGAGUGAAGAAGGUCUUCGGAUCGUAAAACUCUGUUAUUAGGGAAGAACAAAUGUGUAAGUAACUAUGCACGUCUUGACGGUACCUAAUCAGAAAGCCACGGCUAACUACGUG
rnacentral:rRNA from 1 species